rnacentral:rRNA from 1 species
AGAAUCAACGCUGGCGGCGUGCCUAACACAUGCAAGUCGCACGAGAAAGCGGGGGCAAUCCUGUGAGUAAAGUGGCGUACGGGUGAGUAACACGUGAAUCAUCUACCUUCGAGUGCGGAAUAACUGAGAGAAAUCUUAGCUAAUACCGCAUAAUACCCACGGGUCAAAGCAGCAAUGCGCUUGAAGAGGAGUUCGCGGCAGAUUAGUUAGUUGGCGGGGUAAUGGCCCACCAAGACGAUGAUCUGUA